UACGAAGGUUGCAAGCGUUACUCGGAAUUACUGGGCGUAAAGGGCAGGUAGGCGGUUUGGUAAGUCUAUUGUGAAAGCUCCUGGCUUAACUGGGAGAGGCCAAUGGAUACUGCCAAGCUUGAGUAUAGGAGAGGUUACUGGAAUUCCCGGAGUAGCGGUGAAAUGCGCAGAUAUCGGGAGGAACACCAAUGGCGAAAGCAGGUAACUGGACUAUUACUGACACUAAGCUGCGAAAGCUAGGGGAGCAAACAGG
rnacentral:rRNA from 1 species